UACAGAGGCCUCGAGCGUUAGGCGGAAUCACUGGGCUUAAAGCGUGUGUAGGUGGAUGCCUAAGUACCUUGUGAAAUCCCACAGCUUAACUGUGGAAUUGCUUGGUAUACUGGGUGUCUUGAGCCACUCAGGGGCUACCGGAACAAAUGGUGGAGCGGUGAAAUGCGUAGAGAUGUGGAGGAACACCAGUGGCGAAGGCGACUCUUUGGCCUGUAACUGACGCUGAGGCGCGAAAGCGUGGGGAGCAAACAGG
rnacentral:rRNA from 1 species